rnacentral:lncRNA from 10 species
CCUCCUCGUCCUCCAACCUGUGUCUUUGUCCCAGACAUGAUGGCCACGCAUUGCUCCCACACUGUGCGCACGUCGGCGCGGUAGCGCUCGCAGGACCAGAUGAAGGAGGGCAGCAGCAGCGUCUGUGCCAUGGAGCACCACAGCACAGCCAGCACCAUCCAGGGGGGCGCCGAGUCCGACUUGAGGGAGAAGAAGCUCACCACCUGGGGAAGGGUGGGAGCGGGCUGGGUCAGGGCCAGAGCUGAGGAGCCCACCUGAACCCCAUAUCCUAGUGCAGCUGGUGGGCAAGACGUCAGAAGUAAUGCCUGAUCCCUGUGCUCCAACAGAGGCGAAGCCGGAGGUGGAGAUGGAGUGAACAGAGGGAAGGGACUGACUCAGAGGAAGGUCGGGGAGAGUGCUGGAGACAAAGCCCUGCGGUCAGGAGGGAGAGGAACAGAGGUGGACCAGGAACCGUAGAGACAGACAGGAACCCAGGAACAGUGACUAGAUGGGGUGGUGGGGUGAGCCCUGUGGGAUUUCCAGCCAAGAGUGCUCAGAGACCAUGUG